rnacentral:other from 1 species
CAGAUCCUGAGGUGUGCGCCAGUGGAUGCUGUCCCUGAGCCGAUAAUUAAAAUCUUCUGAGUUGAUCUUUUAGAUGUUGGUGUGUAGGCUUACCUCGUAGUAAGAAACCUGAAAACAAUCUGGACCGACUCCCUUGGACCUACGGGUUCAAGGACUAACUCCGCAACGGCACCUUGGGGGAUCC